ACACACACACACACACACACACACACACACACACACACACACCCUCAUCAGUCCAGCCAAACACACCAUGACGCAGCCCCGCACGCCCCGCCGCCGCCGCCCUACAGCAGCAGUGCAGCAGCGGCGGGGCGGCGACAGCACUGCCGAGUCACGUCCCUGCUGACCACCCGAGCCUGGCGCCGCUCCAACACUGCUGCCGGCGUGCUGACUGGCGACCUUACCUGACGCAGUGCUUGGAGUCUGGGGGGGAUGGGGGAGGAGGAGGAGGAGGAGGAGGAGGAGGAGGAGGAGGAGGGAGGAAAAAUAUAGAUGGGACAUACAUACAAAGACUGAAUAAGAAAAGGAAUGGUACAAAGAAGAAAAAGAAGGAAAGGAAAAAUCAUGUUAGAAAGUAAACGAAGAAAAAGAUUGGGGAUAGCAAGUGAAUGGAGGAAAAGUUAAUGUGGGAAGGGGGGGGGGGGAGAGGGAGAUGCUGUCUUUUUUGGAGUGAGAGAGAAAGAGAAAGAGAAGUGUGUAUUUUAAGAUAUUUAUAACCCUACCCUACUUUGUCCCUUCAUUUCUAUUAUCGUCUAUAUUCUCUCUUUCUCCUUGUCUCUCAUCGCUUUCACUUUCAUCUCUUCGUCUCAGGUGUUCGGGGAUGCUUAACAGGCGUCUUAUAGUGUGCACAUUCCUCCCUCUCUACCUGUUUUAUCCCAUAAUAAUAAUAGUAAUAAUAAGAAUAAAAACCAUAUAAUUUCCUUCCCCUUAAGCCAACAGGUGUUUUUCCAUGACUAAUUGCAAUGUUUCUUUCUCCCCUUCCAGGUAAGUAACCGUGGAGGCUGGACGCGUGAGGCUGCAUCUGUGCGGUAAGAUAAGGAGGCUGGGGAUGUGGAGGUGGAGGAGGAGAUUCUGCGGUAAGGGGGAAGGAGGAGGAGGAGGAGGAGGGGCGGGGUUUUGAAGGUGGUUGUGGAGGGUGAGGGUGUGAUGGAGAAGCAUAAUGAGGGAAUAAUGAGUGUCUUGAUGUGAGAAUAGAUGGAGUAAGGAAGGAGGGAGAGCAGAAGAAUAUAGAUAGGACACAGAAAGACUCAAUAACAAAAGGAAGAAAAACAAGGACUGGUACAAAGAAGGAAAGGAGGGAAAGGAAAAAUCAUGAUGGAAAGUAUAUUAAGAAAAAGACAAAGAAGAACAAGAAGAAGAUUGGGUGGCAUAGCAAAUCAUGGCGCCACAGCUACAGUAAGAAGAAGAGGAGGAGGAAGGCGCAGAAGGAGGAGGAGGAGGAAGAAGAGGAGGCAACGGGAACUGUAAGAAGAACAGGAACAGGAAAAAGAAGAAGUUUGGGAGUGUAGCAAAGUCAUGGCGACCCAACUACAGUAUAAAAUAGAGGAGGAAGAGGAGGAGGCAACAUGAAGUAAGGGGAAGGCCGUCAUCACAUAGAGAGUGUCGCCGCAUUGCAGGCACCCGCAGAAGGCGCCGCCGUGGCACCCUCAGACUGUGGCAUCGUCGGAAUGUUUGUGGCUCUGACGGCGACGGGGAGACCCAAAACGCCAUCAUACCCGCUGACUUCUUCCUCCUCCUCCUCCUCCUCCUCCUCCUCCUCCUCCUCCUCUUUUUCUUUUCCUCUUCCUUAUUUUGUGUUUCUAAUCUCUUCACUUUGUUUUGUUUUAAUUAGUAUUUUUAUUAAUCUUUCUUCUCCCCCUCCUUCCUCCUCCUCCUCCUCCUCCUCCUCCUUCUCUUCCUCCUCCUUCUCCUCCUCCUCUUUUUGUUUUCCUCUUCCUUAUUUUGUGUUUCUAAUCUCUUCACUUUGUUUUGUUUUGAUUAUUAUUUUUAUUUCGCUUCCUCAUCCUCCCUUCCUCCUCUUCCUCCUCCUCCUCCUCCUCCCCGGUCUUCUUUAUCGUCUCUUACUCUUCUUCGUCUCGUUCUUGUUCUUCUUGUUUCCUCAUUGCGUCUUUUUUCACAACAACAGCAACAACAAAAACUAAAACAGCAUUCUUAACAUUCAUAUAUGUAGAAAAAUGCCAUUCAAUUCCACCAAACCCUCCCCCCCCCCUCCUCCUCCUCUUCCUCCUCCUCCUCCCGUCAUAUUUAUUCCCCAAUUUACGUGUCAUUUCCCUUCCAUUUCUCGUGAGUGGGAGCGAGAGCAUCGAAUUCCAUCUCCAUAUAAAUAAUGAAACGGCCGAGGAGGAGGAGGAGGAGGAAAGAAAAAUAAGUGAAGAAAAACAAGAACAAGAAGAACGACGAUAACGAUUGAAGACGAACGAAAAAGAAAGAAAGAAAGAAAGGAAGAGAAAGAAAGAUGAGAGGAGAACCGAUUAAUUAGGAGAAUAAAAGAGAAUGAGUAAAAGAGAAAAAAAUAAAAUCCAAAAAGUAGAGAAAGAAAAACAGGAGAGAGAGAGAGAGAGAGAGAGAGAGAGAGAGAGAGAGAGAGAGAGAGAGAGAGAGAGAGAGAGAGAGAGAGAGAGAGAGAGAGAGAGAGAGAGAGAGAGGAUACCAUUAACCUGAAGAAAGAAGAAGAAAAUGAAAGAAGAAAAGGACACUAACGAAAUAGAAAAAAAAAUCACGUACAGGAAAAUAGUAACAAAUAAAGAAAGACAAAACGUUAGAUAAUAGACAGAAAAGAGAAGGAGGAGGAGGAGGAGGAGGAGGAGGAGGAGGAGGAGUAUCACCUGAGCCCCUCCACCCACAUGACGACCCCCCGGGGACCCACCUUCCCCUGAUGGAGUCCCUGGGGAGCAAGAUUUCACCUACUGGAUGCAAAGGGUUAUCUCUCUCUCUCUCUCUCUCUCUCUCUCUCUCUCUCUCUCUCUCUCUCUCUCUGGGUCGGUGAAAAAACUCUACGGAAUCAACUUGCCAGGUUUCACUACCUUCGGGUAUUCCUUCCGUAGAUUUCAUUUUUGCUCUACUUUCCUUUCCUUUUCUUUCCAUUCAUUAUUCUAUUCUUCUCUCUACUCAUCCACCAUCUCGUUCUGGGACAUUUUUCUUUACCUUUUCCCUUCUCCCCAUUAUUUUACUGUUCUCCGUCUCAUGUUAUUUUCUUUUCCUUAUUCACUUCUACAUUCUUUCCUUCUUUUCUUCCUCCGUUCCGUUCCCUUCCCUUCACCUCCCGUCCCUUCUGUUCUUCCUUUUCCCUUCCUGUCCCUUCCCUUUUUGAUCCAGUCCUUGCCGUCCCUUCCCUUCCCUUCUCUUCCGUUCCCUUCCCUUCCCUUCCCUUCCCCUCGCUUCCCUUCCCUUCCCUUCCCUUCCUUGCUGUGUUGGUUCCGUCGACACUUUAAAGAUUUUCCUCGUGACGUCCUGAACGAGUAAGCCUGCAGCAGCCUCCUCCUCCCUUCCUCCUCCUCCUCCUCCUCCUCCUCCUAUUCCUCCUUCUUCUCCUCCUUCUCCUUCUUCUCUUUCUUCAGGAGGAGGCAUGGAUUGAGGGCAUAGUGUGUGUGUGUGUGUGUGUGUGUGUGUGAGAGAGAGAGAGAGAGAGAGAGAGAGAGAGAGAGAGAGAGAGAGAGAGAGAGAGAGAGAGAGAAUGCCGGUAUAAACAAGCCCGCAAAUUGAGCUUAGGACUCGAUUAGAGGUGGAGGAAAGUUCAAGAGAGAGAGAGAGAGAGAGAGAGAGAGAGAGAGAGAGAGAGAGAGAGAGAGAGAGACCUAUUAUCUUACCUUCACUACGUUGCUAAUUUAAGAAAGGUGGAAAUCAUGAAGAGCAGGAGGAAGGACAGGUAAUUAGGAGGAAGAGGAGGAGGAGGAGGAGGAGGAGGAGGAGGAGGAGGAGGAGAGAAGGAGGAGGAGGAGGAGGUGGUGCUUGUGGUCUGACGAAGGGCUUUAUGUUGAAGUCAAGGAGAGGAACGUUAAAGGUGAACUGUUCUACCACCACCUCCAUCACCACCACCUCCAUCACCACCACCAUCACCACCACCACCUCCAUCACCACCAUCACCACCACCUCCAUCACCAUCACCACCACCACCACCUUCACCACCAUCAUCACCAACACCUCCCUUGCUCUCAUCACCAUUCUCCUAACAACACUACAACUAUCACUACUACUACUACUACUACUACUACUACUGCUACUACUACUGGUUACUGGUCAUAGAUUAGUUUAUCAAUAACGUUAUAUUCUGCUGCAUUGAAAUAGUUGAGAGCUGGCAGAAAGGGACGGAGGAAGAAGGGAAGAGAGAGGAGAAGAGGAGAUAAUGAAAGGAGGUGGAGGAAGAGACGGGAGAAAGGGACGGAGGAAGAAGGGAAGAGAGAGGAGAAGAGGAGAUAAUGACAGGAGGUGGAGGAAGAGAAGGCAGAAAGGGACGGAGGAAGAAGGGAAGAGAGAGGGGAAGAGGAGAUAAUGACAGGAGGUGGAGGAAGAGAAGGGAGGAAAGAGGGAGAAGAGGGAAGGUAGUGGGAGGAAGAGGAGGAAGAAGGAAGAAAUAGAAGAGGAAAACGUACAAAUAAGAAAAAAAAUAAGAGAUAGAAAGAGGAAGGAGGAGAGAGAGAUACGAAGAGGGGAGGUAGUGGCAAGAAGAAGGAGGAGAAGAAGAAGAAAAAGGAGAGGAAGAAGAAGAAAUAGAAGGUAAAAAAAAAUGGAAUGAAAAAUAUGAAAAGCAAGGAAUGGUUUAUUUUCAGAGGUUUUAGUUUCCCCUUGAAGACACUCGUGCUCCUCAACCACACUCCGUUUUCUGUGAUACGUAUUUGGCACCCGUGUGUGUGUGUGUGUGUGUGUGUGUGUGUGUGUGUGUGUGUGUGUGUGUGUGUGUGUGUGUGUGUGUGUGUGUGUGUGUAAAAAAGUACAUUCAACCUCUGAAUAAUUGAUUGGAAGGUAAGGAGAAAAAAGUGUUUGGGAACCGGUUUAGUUGAGGAAUGAAUAGACGGCGAUGCUGCUACUGUGUGUGUGUGUGUGUGUGUGUGUGUGUGUGUGUGUGUGUGUGUGUGUGUGUACGGAGAGCAAGGUACACACAACAGGUGGGCGGUAGCGGCAACGGAGCACACGAGAAUCUUGACUAAUGAGAUGUGUGUGUGUGUGUGUGUGUGUGUGUGUGUGUGUGUGUGUGUGUGUGUGUGUGUGUGUGGGGGGCCAACGUCUUCGUCACCAUCACCGACAACGUUUCUGGCACAACCUCGCGACGGCACGUGUAGUAUUUAGUUCAGUAAUCCUGACCGCGCGGGGCCGACCGGAAAGGGGGGAGGAAGAGAAGAGAAGAGAAGUGAGAGGAGUGACAGGGUGGGGAAGGGUAGUAUAUAGAAUGGGAGGGGGUAAUGUGUAACAGGGCGAGGCAGGGUGGCAUGGGAAGGGAGGGAGUGGUACAGGAGGGUGGGGGAGUGAUAUGGUAAGACAGAGUGGUAUAGGAGUUCGAGGAGGGAGUGACAGGGUGGGGCGAGGUGAUAUAGGGGGAGAGAGGGGCUACAGAAGGUCGAUUAAGGGUAAGCAUGAUGGGAGGGGCACGAGGGAAGACUAAAGGGCAAAACGGAGAGGGAAGGGUGUAGGGGAUCGACUCUCUAGGUACUGAUAAGGGACUAUAUAGAUAAGAAGGAGCAAGAGAAAACGAAGACACCGAAAGGGAGGAAGGUUAAGGGGUCCAUUUAACUGUAGCGAAGGGGGACUAGAAGCAGAUCGUCAUCGUCAGUCAGUCAGUCAGUCAGUCAAUAAGCUAGGUGAUGUGACACUGUGAUGUGGCGUGGCUGGGUGGGGCUUGGUAUAGUGUGGAGUGAUAUGGCUAGCUAGGGUUGGGCUGUUAUGUGGAUCAGUGUAGUGUGGAGUAGAGGGGAGGGACUGUGUGUGUGUGUGUGUGUGUGUGUGUGUGUGUGUGUGUGUGUGUGUGUGUGUGUGCGCGCGCGCGUCUUGGUUAGAGCGACACAAAAUUCCGAGUAAUGUAAAAAAAAAAAGAUAAAGUAUGGAAAAUAUUUUAAAAACGCGCUCGGUUCAACAAGCUUUCCUUUUUACGAAUCUCAUAACAUUUAAAUUUAAAUCCACAUAAAACGAGUUAAAUUUAGAGCCAAUUCCACGGAGAAGAUCUAUAAAUAACCCGGUGGGAAAACAACAUUUACUAUAAAACCAAAAAUAGACUUUGAAUUACAGGACGGAAAUAGACAACACACGCCCACAGGUUUCCACGUCGAUUGAAAACAAGCGAUAGAAUACCAACAAAGAACAUUACAAUAACAGCGUCCUUUGAUACACACACUCAAGGUUUAUAUACUCGUUAAAAUACAAGGGAAAUCGUCAACAGUCUUAGGUUUGUUAGUAAAUUAAAAAGCAAAGAGACAUAUCAACAGGAAACUACAAUAAGACCAUCCCUUAAUAGACAUACUCAGGGACUAUAUACUUCUUUAAGAUACUAGAAACUCAAGGGUCAUAUCCUUAAGCAUUUCGACGGCCAUGCACACAUAUUUAACAAGGCUUUCAUAGGAGUUGUGGGUAUUUCCAUAGGGGGUAGUCUUAUGACCCUGGCGGUAGUGUAACCCUUCUGUAUCAAGAACCUAAAAAGCACUGUUGACAAGGCUCUCGUAGGAGUAAUGGGGAUUUCCAGGGGUAGUUUUAUGGCCCUGGUGGUAGUGGAACCCUUCUUCUGCACCAUGAACCUAAAAACACUGAUGGUUAGGGUAUUUCCAUAGGGGGUAGUUUUAUGGCCCUGGCGGUAGUGUAACCCUUCUGUACCAUGAACAUAAAAAGCACUGGUGACAAGGCUUUCGAAGGACUUGUGGGCAUUUCCAGGGGUAGUUUUAUGACCCUGGUGGUAGUUUAACCCUUCUUUUGCACCAUGAACCUAAAAACACUGAUGGUUAGGCUUUCGUAGGAGUUAUGGGUAUUUCCAGGGGUAGUUUUAUGACCCAGGUGGUAAUCUAACCCUUCUUCUGCACCAUGAACCUAAAAAGCACUAGUGACAAGGCUUUCGUAGGAGUUGUGGGCAUUUCCAGGGGUAGUUUAAUGGCCCAGGUGGUAAUCUAACCCUUCUUCUGUACAAUGAACCUAAGAAAAGCACAUUAGAACCAAACUGAUGACCUUUUUGGCGUUUAGAAAUAGCUGAGGUUAGAGGCGGAAGUUUCUGAGAAUACGACCCCAUAACACUGAGCUUAAAUUCAUACUUUAAGAUCAUUCAAUAAUAAACAUAGACGGACCACAUUCCUUAAAGCGACGGGGAGCUAUGAUAACAACCUUUAAUAAUAAACAAACUCAGGGCCAAUCUUUAAAGAGGCGGGAGACGAUGAUGCUUCUGUGACGUAAGCAAGAAGGGCGUGUUGGUGUGGCGGCGGUUUGCUCAUUGGAAAGCCAUUUGAAGAGCGUUCCUUGACUUCCUCUAUGCAUCAGACGUGGCGGGAGUUGAUGUUAGGUUACUAGAAGAAGAUGAAGAAGAAGAAGAAGAAGAAGAAGAAGAAGAAGAAGAAGAAGAAGAAGAAGAAGAAGAAGAGGAAAAAGAGAAUACUGGUUACUAAUCUUCGCUGCUGUUGCUUCAGGAGUCUCGUGUCCUUAGAUAGAGAGACAGGGAGUGAAGGAAAGGAGGGAAAAAGGGAGAGGUUUUGAUGGGGAUAGAUUCGUGUGUGUGGGUGGGGUGAGGGGAAGGUUCUAGUGGUGUGUAGGUUCAUGGUUAAGUCCGUUUAUGUGUUUGUAUUCAAGAUUUACAUAGAUAUUCAGACCACACAGAUGCUAUGGUCCAAACUAGGUGGUGCUCUGUCCUUGAACCUAAGUGACACCUCAAACCAAAUGGCCGCCAAGACUUUGCAUUCCUAUUUCUACUUUAGCGAGUAAUAAGUUAAGGAAAUGGCAGUCCAGUUUGGUUUUAAAUGAAGAGAAAGAUAUAUAGAGAGGAGGGAGAAGCAGUGUAGGUUAUAUUAAAGUGAAGAAAAUGAGUAAGUUUGUGUUUAUGAAGAAAAGGAUAGAUAGAUAGAUAAAGAGGAAGGGGAAGGAAGGGGUGUUGCAUCAAAAUACCUCCCCCUCGCUCUCUCUUGAACUCUCUCUUUGGGGCUACGUUGAGCAGAAACAUCACCGCCCAGCUAGUCAGUCAGGCAGGCAGGCGGUCGAGAGAGAGGCGGGAGGGAGCAAGAGGAAGGAGAAAGGAGUCUAGCAUCGUAAUACCCACCUCACUCACUCUCUUCUCUCUCUCGAACUCUCUCUUCGGGGCUACGUUGAGCGUUAGCAUCUCCACCUAGCUAGUCAGGCAUAGAGGCGGGAGAGUGAUGCAGGAGAGAGCGAGCGAGAGGCGAGGAGCAGCAACCGGCCAGCCACACAGCCAGCCUUGCCUUGCCCGCACUGUUGCUGAUGCUCGCUUCGAUUUUUCCCCGUUAAAGUCGACCUCACUGAAGCUCAUCUCCCCGCGGACACGCCCCCUUUCCCCCCCCACACAGCAGCGACUCCCCCCCAAAGCCUUGACUUGAGGUACUGAAACGCGGCGCUCAAAACCCAUGGAUUUUAACACCGUCCAAGAGUAGUACUUGAUCUUGAGAGGAAAAGCGACGAUACCCAUGCCACACCUUUUCGAAUUCCCCAUUUUCUCCCCAACCACGUAUCAAGGGGAGAUGUACAUGAGUGAGGGGGGAGGUGAGGGCCAUGGGUGGGUGGGUAGGGUGUUCAUGAGCCUGUGAUAUCGACGUAGGAUGUGAUAUUGAGGCAGGUUAUGAAAGCGGUUUGGCGAUGAUGGGUCGGUGGCGUCUAGGGGAGCGAGGGUUGUGCUGCAGCGAUGAGCUAAGGAAGAGGAGGAGGAGGAGGAGGA